rnacentral:rRNA from 1 species
UGGGACAUUCUCAGUACCGUCAGACUGCACACGUAUUAAGCAUGCAGAUUUCGCUCCUGAUAAAAGUGCUUUACAACCCGAAGGCCUUCUUCACACACGCGGCAUUGCUGGAUCAGGCUUGCGCCCAUUGUCCAAUAUUCCCCACUGCUGCCUCCCGUAGGAGUCCCCCCGUGCCCCCGCCCCGCCCGCCGCGGGCGGCGGGGGGGGGGGGGGCACGGGGGGA